rnacentral:lncRNA from 1 species
GCGGAGCUGCCACCGCGGCCAUCUUGUUGCUCUAACUGACAAGAACCCCCCUCCCCCCACUCCAGCCAGACGGGGCGCUCGCGCCCAGGUCCCCGCCCCGCGUCGGGCUCCAACAGGAAGUCGUCCCGGCCCAUGGCACGUGACUCCCACCGUAUCUGCAUACCGGAGGGAGGAUUGGCCAAUCAGUGCUCUGCAUUUAAGUUCCGCCCUACGCGCCCCUCUAGGACCCAUUGGUUCGUCCAGGCCAGACCACGCCUCCUCCUUCCCCUUAAUACCCGCCCGCGCAGUGGUUACCCAGACUGUGUGGGCAGCGCGCCGCGAUUUGGGUAACGCGUUCCUCUUCCCUCGGGUGCGCGCCGGUUUUGGUAGCUAACGCUCCUGUAGGGGGUGCGUGGAGAGCUGCCCCGCGCCUGGCCUCCAGCCUCUGGGUACUGUGACUCCGCUUUAGCUCAUUGGCCAAAAGGGCCCCGAAUUAAGUCUGCGUAUCUGUCGCGUUCUCCUGGCCAGCGGUCCCCAGGUCGGGGCUCUGCGCGGUGUUUUCACCCGGCGGCGCUGGCCCUAUCUGCAGCGGCUACCAUGGCACGGCGCGCGUCCGGCCCGUGCCUCGCAUACGCCCUGCACCUCCCCGUCGUGCAUGCAAGUACAUGCGCCAGCCGGGGCCUGGAAGCCUCCGGCUCACCGCGUACCUACCAACCCGUCCCUGCGCGCCCCAGCUCCCGAGGGAGCGCCUUGCAGCGAGCCAAACAACCAUCGCUGCGAAACAGCCCUCCGGGGAGACAACCCUUUCCCGCAGCGCAAACACUCCACCCCCAACUCCCACCGCGCUCCCAGGCUUUCCAGACCGAACCCUGCGCUGCUCCGGCUUGUGCACCCCGCCGUGCACCCCGCCGUUCCUUCCCGGGGCUCGGUAACCCGCCGAGAUCCUCCAUUCUGCUGCUUCUCUUCGGUAUGCAUUAUUCAUUCAAGCCAUAG